rnacentral:misc_RNA from 1 species
GUUAGAGGUGAACAUGUGACGAUGAAAAUGGAUGAACCCACCUCAGAGGUUUUCCGUUCAGAAAAUCCACUGGCAGUUAAUCCAUUUCUUCAUCAACACAAUACUGAAACAGAAAAUGUUCUGUCAGCAGUAGGAGACAACUCUGGCUUACUGGAGUGUAUUGUAGAGGGUAGUUUGGAUGGGGAAAGUGCUCCAAUGGACACCGGUGCUGCCAGAGAGUUGGGGCAACUAAA